GAUAAAGAGGAGACUGCAAAGCUGUACUUUUAAACGCUGACGUCCAUGUACUAUUUGUCAGUUCGUAGGUAGACGAAAUAACCUCGUUCUAUAUGCCCUCCGACUACACCAGGCCAUUACGUUUGAGAAAAAUAGCGUCACUAAUUCACAAUCAUAAACACGUGAAAAUAAUGCUUUAUACGCAUUGGCGUUUGAAAGUAGAUGCCCUCAGUUAGGAGGCAAUGCAUGUCAGGGGUUAGGGUCAGGGGUUAGGGUUGAACAGAGAAAGCACGCUUUUUUUCUCUCUCCUUUGUCCCGUCCCGUUCUGCCGUGUUACAUCAGGGCUGUGAUCGUGCCCACUGACGCCUACACAGUUGCCCUGUUCAACGUUAAACACUGAAAAAUAAGCCACUCUGGCAAGUGUUGAUUUUUCCAAAAAAAUGUCCUUGUAAACAGAUGAAACACGUGCCGCAAAGGGCCUUUGUCAGAAUAAAAAUGUGAUCGCUGUACAGAAGUUAUUUUACCAAUCCAUUACUCGGCUUCUUUUUUUAAAUACCUUUAAACAUAAUUACCGGCUGUUACUCUAUCAUUUGAGCACCGCUUUGUACGAGAGUUCUGCACUAAGUAAGGCUUUCACGGUUGUGCUGAGUGGCCCUGUGUUUAUGCGUUUUCUGGUUGUAGCACUACGCGUUGUUCAGCAUCAUGUUCGACGUUUCGCUCCUCGUGCUGGCACCUUCUUCAGGAACUGUGAUCGUGCAAUGCAACACGCGGCAUCCGGCCAGAACCGGCGAAUAACAAAAAGCAUAGGAAGAUCCAACUGAUUAAGGGACGAGACACGAUCCCAACGCGCCACCACCGUGUAUGGAAACUCAGGAUAUCAACAGACGCAACUAAACUAACUAUAACUAACUUGACUAAAUACUUAAACCAGCAGGGUGAGUGGAAAGCACUAGCGGGGGUUUAAAGGGCCAGUUUAGAGAGGUGAGUUUUCAGGACAAGACUGAAACAUAUCGAACGAUUCUCAUUUGUCUGAUUAGCAAAGGCAAAGCGUUACAAAACAUGUCUCUGUGCAUUCUCUGUCACCCAAUU